UUCCGCCAGAGUUCCACCAUGGACUGUGCUCUCUCUCUCUUGUGGGCCUCUGGGGACUCUGGUGGUCUUUCUGUAUCAGUAUAUCAGUGUUUGAACUGAUAAUGUCCCAAGAUAAUAAGCGAUAAUAAUUUGAAUUUUUCAGUAAUUCCUUAAGUUUGGACGGCCCAACGGCAUGGAAUCUAAUCACAGUUGGUGAGUGUAACUGGGAUUUUCAACAUGGAAACAUUGUUUCAUGUCCGCGUGCGAGUACAGAGUGUGUAAAGAGAGACAGCAGAGAGACUCUGCAAGGAUAUUCCACAUAAAAUAUAACAAAGUGAAGGGAACCUUAAACCUUAAAAACCCAACAACCAACAGAGUUAUCCAAGUUCCAAGUGAAAGUACGGAAAGAUUUAUAAUAUAUUAUGGUGUACCAUGUCGUACCAGUGUUCAGCUACGAGUUUUGCAGUUAUAUAAAUAAGUUGCAACAUUUUGUUGGCUGAUCUUUGACUCUGAACAUCGAUAAGAUACGGGAAUGUCACGGUGACUUCUGUAUAAAUUGUCAACUGCCAAAAGCAACGCUCAAGUAACACUUGAAAGCUGGCGAAAGUCAACGUUUUGGAAGUUAAUUAAUGAUCCACUGAUUAGAUUAGAAUAUGCUUAUUAAGUGCCCAUGCGAUAGCAAAACAAAAUUGAAACCACAGAAAGAAUUCCCAGAAAUACGACCAGUGGCAACUGACCAAAAAUGAAGUGCACUUAUCCGCGGAGGUGAUCUUUCGGGGCAGGAGGAGAAUGAAAUUAACGGCAGAGUAAAGCAGUAAAGGGAGCGAAAGCCCAAACGAUCCUUAUCCUUAACGAAUAAGGAAAUUCAGUAAAAGAAUCACUUAAAGUUGCACCCAAAGCUACUUUUUAAGAGUAUUCCCGACACACAUCCAGGUAUCAACAUAUGUACCUGUGUAUCUUCCAUGGAAAAAGUCUGUCAAAAGCGUAGGAAAAUUGUCAAGCGAUGACAAGACUCUGCUGUCUGUCUGCCUGUACAUACAUUUUCAUUUAAGUUGAUGUCUGUUGUUGUGUCUUGUGGAUGGAUGUCUGCAUUGCGAUACUUCCAUGCCAUGCGGGCGAUGGUGAUGGUGAUGGUGAUGGUGAUGGCGACGGCGACCCCCCUUCAUGUCGUGGCCCAUGGCAUUUCUUCCUCAAUUUCAUUAUCUUAAGUACACAUUUUGAAGUACAAACGUCAGUAGGCGAUAAGAAACAGCAACUGAGACGGGGAGGUGGAGGUGGAAGAGAACUGGUGACGGCAAAGGUAGCAAACCAAAAGAAGACAUCUAAAAGCAGUCAAGUCAACAACAAACACAGAAACGAACAGAACCGUGAAGGGACCGUGAACCGCGCAAAGGAAUGAAUGCUCUAAAUGCAAUCUGUUUGCACAAUUCCACACAGAGAACACCCAUACCAUAUACGUACGAGUAAAUGAAUCCCCAGAAACAGACAGAAUUUUCAGCAUUUUAACGCUAAAUAAAUCAGGCAAAUGUCAAACAUUUAAUUAGGUGCACCGCAGAGUAGAGAGACGGAAAACCCACCACAUGCCAUUCCCUUAAGAAAAUCAUGUAGAAAAUCAUUAUGUGGAGAGAGGGAAGGCAAAGAACAGGGAGGGAAACCUUCUGUAGGGUUUCCUCACUGUUCCUCCUUUCUGUUUGUGGCAGUUUCUGCAUAUGGUAAAUACCAUUAUCAAAUCAUAUUAUCUUAUUUAUAAGCAUUAUCGUGCCACAGAUACAGAUUGCCUAUCUAUGGAAUGGGCAUGUAAAAAAAUCAUAUAUACACAGAUAUCUUACUGGCGGCUACGUUAUUUCGUUGCUGCCUGCCAGUAAGUUUUGCACUUUCGAUUUAAACACGUUCCGCUCUCGCCCGCCAGCCAUCAGCCAUCAGCCGAUCCGUCGAGUAGUUAUGAAAAUAUUAUAAUUAUAAUGCAUUAUAAUGCCACCCCAAAAUCUCUACGUGCGAGAGUGAUAGAGAUCGUAAAGUGACAGAUCCAGCAACAAAAAUGGUUCUACGGUUCUACGUUCUGCGAGUAUUGUAAAAAAAAAUAGAGCCAUAAAAUGGCUUGGGGCAUGAAAUCAUCGCAUGUUAUGGCCUGGCCUGGCCCGGCAUGGACUUUAAGUGUGUGUACCGAGUACAAAAUAUACGAGCAUGAUAGUUUUAUAUUAAACCAACAAAAGUGAGCAGCCCCACAGAGUCUUACAGUGACAGUGCCAGUUUGUGGCAAGGAAUGGAAACCAAGUGCGAGUACUACUCCUCCGAUAUUUAUGGGGAAAACCCAAAUGAGUUUUCAGUGCAGUGUAUGAAUAAUUCUUGUACUUGGACUCUCCAUCAUUCAUUCCACAUAUGUUUUUCUCCAAGAAGCCAAAAGAUAAGAGCUGCUCAGAGACCUACUUAAUGCUUAAUAAGCAUGAUUAAAUUUAUUUCUAGCACUCGCUACGCGCAUUUAUAGACACACAUUAUUUGAACGAAAAGAAACGUUUCUUGAGCAACAAAACGGCUUUCCGAGACAUUCUCAAUCAUUUAUAGAUGGCAUUUUGUUCCUCUGCUGCAUAGUGAUUGACACUUGCGCAGACAUUUUAUCUAAGAAAUUACAGAAUAGUUUCCGAAAGCACCCAUCUAACCAGUACAUCCUCCCCUUUAGCAAUUAAGCAACUUGUUUGGCUGCAGUAAAUAGAUUUCAUGUACUCCAUGGAAUACUCAAAAAGAAAACUAAUCCCUUGCAUGUCCUCCUACCUCCCCCGACAGCGGAUCUCGACUAAGAAACUUCUAUAUGCUCGUAUGGACAUUCACUCGGGAAGAGGGGUACUCCAUAGUAUGAUUGGAAAUCAAAGCCCAAGACCAUAUCUUUCUAUAUCUUAUCACGGGCUAUGCUUGUGUGUAUGAUGCGAUAUCAUGUAAGACAAGGCUAUAUACAAUAUAUGCCACUGGCAUGGUAUUAUCAUCCCAUUAUCUGGCCCCAAAGCGUUGAUAGGGAAACCCUGACCCAGCCAGCCCCAAAAAAAGAAAAUAAUAAAAGAACUUACAAUCUCUCGUGCUUAGUGUUUGAGUGAAAGUUUUGCUAAAACGAACAGAAUCUCUCCGUACAAUGACCGAUUAGAACUGCAAAGAAAGAGAAACAGCUGAAAACUAUUUAGUCACGAUGGUAGGGUACAUAUUGGUAUUUGAGUGCCAAAAAGUGAACAUUCUGAUGAGCAUGGAAGGGAGGAUUCCGCCCUAAUCUGAUAGGCUAUCAAUCAGAGUGGACGCGGAUCGAGACGAAGGUUGCAUUUGGUGGCACUUGAACGAGUCCACGAGCCAGCGCCGCCAGCGACAUGCGACACUUUGGUACAGUCACGUAGUCAUAGGCGUGAACACUCCCUCCCCCACUACCCCACUACCCCGCUACCCCCUUCAGUGUGGUAGCGAACAACCCUAGCAAUAAACAAAAAACUGUUUUGCCACAUGAAAUGACUUUCAGAUUUUCUGUUGUUUUUGUUUUUUUUGCUGUUGUCGUUUUGUAACGCGUGACUCCCAUAAAAAACAAAGUUUAUUAAAAAAAUAGGAAAAAAUGGAGCAAAAUAAAAGGGUGGAGGGUGCCUGAUGAAAGGGGGGAUGGGUAACUCGCGAGAGAGUGACAUGGACAGAGGGGUGGAGGGGAACUCAGCAAUGCGACGUUAUCUUAUCGUUGAAAAUGUCGCUUUCGUAAAUGGCGGCGCACAAAAUAAAAUAAUACACACACAGGCGUACAGAAAUCCAAGCACACGUACAUCCCCCCACACACACAUUCUAUAUACACACAUACAUAUGUAUAUAUAUGGCAGAUAUAUGCAUGAAUGCAUGAAUACACCCUACUACCAUUUAUAACGUUCCGUUCCUGUCUGUGGCAGCAAAAUUGUUGCUACGGGAUUGGGAUUGGAAUUGGAGGAGUACCUGCUCGCCGCUUACAAAUUUAUGGAUUUCAUGUAACGAAAAUUGUCAAUAAAACUCAAUGAGAUUAUACCAUAA